UAAUACCGCAUAAUCCCUACGGGGGAAAGCAGGGGACCUUCGGGCCUUGUGCUGAUGGAUGAGCUCGCGUCGGAUUAGCUUGUUGGUGAGGUAAUGGCUCACCAAGGCGACGAUCCGUAGCUGGUCUUAGAGGAUGAUCAGCCACACCGGGACUGAGACACGGCCCGGACUCCUACGGGAGGCAGCAGUGGGGAAUCUUGGACAAUGGGGGCAACCCUGAUCCAGCCAUGCCGCGUGUGUGAAGAAGGCCUUCGGGUUGUAAAGCACUUUCAGUAGGGAGGAAGGCUUAUCCUUAAUACGGAUGAGUACUUGACGUUACCUACAGAAGAAGCACCGGCUAAUUUCGUGCCAGCAGCCGCGGUAAUACGAAAGGUGCAAGCGUUAAUCGGAAUUACUGGGCGUAAAGCGCGCGUAGGCGGU
rnacentral:rRNA from 1 species